rnacentral:lncRNA from 1 species
AUUUUCUGUGAUGAUGUAUGUCUAUUUGUAUUACUAAUACCUAAAAGACUGUAAGCUUUAAAACAUAUUUUUCUUUGUUUUAAGCCGCUUGAUGGCAUUGAAACGAAUGGGAAUUGUAAGCGACUAUGAGAAAAUCCGUACCUUUGCCGUAGCAAUAGUAGGUGUUGGUGGAGUAGGUAGUGUGACUGCUGAAAUGCUGACAAGAUGUGGCAUUGGUAAGUUGCUACUCUUUGAUUAUGACAAGGUGGAACUAGCCAAUAUGAAUAGACUUUUCUUCCAACCUCAUCAAGCAGGAUUAAGUAAAGUUCAAGCAGCAGAACAUACUCUGAGGAACAUUAAUCCUGAUGUUCUUUUUGAAGUACACAACUAUAAUAUAACCACAGUGGAAAACUUUCAACAUUUCAUGGAUAGAAUAAG